CUGACUUAAGCUGUUUUAGGCACAUCUUGUAUCCCUCUUGCCUCAACUCUGGAAUUGGUUACCACUACUUCUGAACUGGGUGGCAGCUACAGACAGAGGUGGUAAGGGAGUAAUUGCUUAGGAUUGGACUGAGCUGAAGAAUGUUUAGCCUGGCGGUACUAGUGCAACUGGAAGAACAGAUGAACCAUAGUUUGCAACACAAAGCCAAGUCAACCAACAGAAG
rnacentral:lncRNA from 1 species